AGGGACGAUAAUGCAUAUCUGGUGGGAGUGUAGUGCAAUAACCCCAUUCUGGGAUCUGAUCAAACAACGUAUAACAGAUAUACUGGGUGAAGGGACGGAAUGGUCGGCCUCUCUGGCCCUCCUACAUAUAUCGAAGAUGCCGAUAUCUUCCUAUAAGAAAUCAAUUCUCAGACAUCUUUUGAACGCGGCUAAGUCGCUCAUCCCUUUAUAUUGGAAACGGACGGAGAUACCCAAUGAAGAGG